GCCGGGUGUGGUGGUGCACGCCUGUAAUCCCAGCUACUCAGGAGGCUGAGGCAGGAGAAUCGCUUGAACCCAGGAGGCAGAGGUUGCAGUGAGCCAAGAUUGCACCACUGCAUUCCAGCCUGGGCGACAGAGCAAGACUUUGUCUCAA
rnacentral:SRP_RNA from 1 species